GCUCUUAGCUUAGUUGAUUUAUGUUGAUGACCCUGGGAACCCUGCUGUGUUUAGAAUAUCUAUUGUUGAGGAGCCAAAAUUACAGCAAUACUUUUUCGAAUCAUAUGAUAAGGAAAAUGAAGGCAGAAUUAUCACCUUGAAGCAUGGCUUUUAUCGUACCACUGAAAAUGUGGGCCCCGUUAUCACAUUUGAUCGUUUCUUUGCAAAGUGAAGCAAUUCCAAAAAGCAGCUACUGUGAAAACAAGAUGUAGCCUCCAGCUAAAAGGGAAGUGGGUGACUUAUCCAGGAAAUCAUCAAAUGGCUUGGACUCAAAGGUGAACUUAAAUAAAGCCAACUGGUCCCCAUGAGUCCAGCACAUGUGGUCGGUUAACCUCUUCAACACCAGUAGCGGAUUGCCCAAUAAGAUGAUUAUCAGCACCGGCAGGAUUAGCAUCCCCUCUAUGGAGCUUACAUACACUAUGUUUUAAUAUGUAAUGUGAUUAAUUCUUUUAAAUCUCCAUGUCAUCGGAUGGUUUUAUGAAUCGUCCGCCAAAAAGAAACCCGUAAUAAAUCUUGCAAUGUUAUGCAAUUAUUAUCACAUUACAAA